CAAUAGCGUAUAUUAAAGUUGUUGCAGUUAAAAAGCUCGUAGUUGGAUUUCUGGUUGAAGCGACCGGUCGGGCGUUGAUUCGUCUGCACUGGAGUCGGUUUUGGCCAUCCUCUAGGAAAGUGCGUCUGGUAUUAAGUUGUCGGGCGUAUGAUCCUGGUCUUUUACUGUGAAAAAAUUAGAGUGUUUAAAGCAGGCCUUCGCCUUGAAUACAUUAGCAUGGAAUAAUAAGAUAGGACUUUGGUCUAUUUUGUUUGGUUUGUCAGACCGAACGUAAUAGAUUAAUAAGGGAGUAGUUGGGGGUAGGUUUAUUAUUCCGUACUGUCAGAGGUGGAAAUUAC
rnacentral:rRNA from 1 species